rnacentral:rRNA from 1 species
UACAGAGGUGGCAAGCGUUGUUCGGAAUUACUGGGCGUAAAGGGCGCGUAGGCGGCCGCCUAAGUCAGACGUGAAAUCCCCAAGCUUAACUUGGGAACUGCGUCUGAUACUGGGUGGCUUGAGUUCGGGAGAGGGAUGCGGAAUUCCAGGUGUAGCGGUGAAAUGCGUAGAUAUCUGGAGGAACACCGGUGGCGAAGGCGGCAUCCUGGACCAACACUGACACUGAUGAGCGAAAGCCAGGGGAGCAAACGGG